rnacentral:rRNA from 1 species
UACGUAGGGUGCGAGCGUUAAUCGGAAUUACUGGGCGUAAAGCGUGCGCAGGCGGUUGUGUAAGCCAGAUGUGAAAUCCCCGGGCUUAACCUGGGAAUGGCAUUUGGGACUGCACAGCUAGAGUACGGCAGAGGGGACUAGAAUUCCUGGUGUAGCAGUGAAAUGCGUAGAUAUCAGGAGGAAUACCGAUGGCGAAGGCAGGUCCCUGGGUCGAUACUGACGCUCAUGCACGAAAGCGUGGGGAGCAAACAGG